UUUAUUGGAGAGUUUGAUCCUGGCUCAGGAUGAACGCUGGCGGCGUGCCUAAUACAUGCAAGUCGAGCGAAUGGAUUAAGAGCUUGCUCUUAUGAAGUUAGCGGCGGACGGGUGAGUAACACGUGGGUAACCUGCCCAUAAGACUGGGAUAACUCCGGGAAACCGGGGCUAAUACCGGAUAAUAUUUUGGACCUCAUGGUUCAAAAUUGAAAGGCGGCUUCGGCUGUCACUUAUGGAUGGACCCGCGUCGCAUUAGCUAGUUGGUGAGGUAACGGCUCACCAAGGCAACGAUGCGUAGCCGACCUGAGAGGGUGAUCGGCCACACUGGGACUGAGACACGGCCCAGACUCCUACGGGAGGCAGCAGUAGGGAAUCUUCCGCAAUGGACGAAAGUCUGACGGAGCAACGCCGCGUGAGUGAUGAAGGCUUUCGGGUCGUAAAACUCUGUUGUUAGGGAAGAACAAGUGCUAGUUGAAUAAGCUGGCACCUUGACGGUACCUAACCAGAAAGCCACGGCUAACUACGUGCCAGCAGCCGCGGUAAUACGUAGGUGGCAAGCGUUAUCCGGAAUUAUUGGGCGUAAAGCGCGCGCAGGUGGUUUCUUAAGUCUGAUGUGAAAGCCCACGGCUCAACCGU
rnacentral:rRNA from 1 species